rnacentral:rRNA from 1 species
CCUACGGGAGGCUGCAGUGGGGAAUAUUGCACAAUGGGCGCAAGCCUGAUGCAGCCAUGCCGCGUGUGUGAAGAAGGCCUUCGGGUUGUAAAGCACUCUCAGCGGGGAGGAAGGCGGUGAGGUUAAUAACCUCAUCGAUUGACGUUACCCGCAGAAGAAGCACCGGCUAACUCCGUGCCAGCAGCCGCGGUAAUACGGAGGGUGCAAGCGUUAAUCGGAAUUACUGGGCGUAAAGCGCACGCAGGCGGUCUGUCAAGUCGGAUGUGAAAUCCCCGGGCUCAACCUGGGAACUGCAUUCGAAACUGGCAGGCUAGAGUCUUGUAGAGGGGGGUUGAAUUCCAGGUGUAGCGGUGAAAUGCGUAGAGAUCUGGAGGAAUACCGGUGGCGAAGGCGGCCCCCUGGACAAAGACUGACGCUCAGGUGCGAAAGCGUGGGGAGCAAACAGGAUUAGAUACCCGGGUAGUC